GCAAGUGAUGAUUUCAACAUUCUUCACUUUGACCUGAUUUUGUCGUUGAUGAUAUUGUGUCUGAGC